rnacentral:snRNA from 1 species
GAGUCUUAGUUCCUUCAUCUAUAAAAAAUGGGAUACAGAGAUUAGCGUGGCCCCUGCACAAGGAUGACAUGCAAAUUCAUGAAGUGUUCCAUAUUUUU